UACGGAGGGGACUAGCGUUGUUCGGAAUUACUGGGCGUAAAGCGCACGUAGGCGGAUUGUUAAGUGAGGGGUGAAAUCCCGGGGCUCAACCCCGGAACUGCCUCUCAUACUGGCAAUCUCGAGUCCGGAAGAGGUGAGUGGAAUUCCGAGUGUAGAGGUGAAAUUCGUAGAUAUUCGGAGGAACACCAGUGGCGAAGGCGGCUCACUGGUCCGGAACUGACGCUGAGGUGCGAAAGCGUGGGGAGCAAGCAGG
rnacentral:misc_RNA from 1 species